UGACUAGAUUGUACGUUAAAAAAUAUAAUUUAUUUGUUUUCAAACUCGUUUAUAGACUUUCGGAAGUAUUUUUUGUACUUUUUUGUGUUUAUUAAAUAAAUAAUGAAUUAGACUUGAAAAUGAAUUUAUGGUGAUCUACAUAAGUUGAUUGUAUCAACGAUUAACGACGAAGUGAUGGAUGAUAAACAAAUUGUUGACGACGGGACCAAUCACGAUGAUGUUAAUUCUGAAGAUCAUAAAACUUCAGCAGUGAAUAGCCUAAUAUUAGAGUACUACAAAAAAUUUGGCAAGAAACGCGAUUUAGAGCAGUUUUUUUCGUUAUCAACAGCCCAAAGUGAAAAAAGGGAUCCUAGCAGUUUAUUUUGGAGAAAAAUCAAGGCUCUGAGCGACUCCUCUGAUUCUGGGGAUAAAAGAAGUGAAUCAUCUACAGAGCUGUGUAAAAUAUCUAUCAGAUGCUCUGUUCCAGACAGUAGCUCAAAGCUUCAGAAAGAGUCAAGGAAGUUGAGCGAUGCAGACUCCCCACCAAUUAUUUCAGAAGUUCUUGAAUUUAGACAUUCUGAUAAUGAAUCAGUAAAAUCUGAGGAUGUACAUUCUCUCAAAUCUGUGGAUGGUACCCUAGAUUUAUCUAUGAAUAAACCACACUCGCCAACAAGCAGUGUUACAUCUCAUAGGAGACUGGAAUGGGACUCUUUAGCUGAUGUUGGUUAUGGAAAUGAAAGUGAACAGAAAAUGUCAGCAUCAUGUCUUAGUACAUUAGAAAGAUUAGCAUUGCAACAACAGUAUUGUAUAAAUGAUACGCAACAGAGCAAUUUAGGCCUUCCUACUGCACAUUCCACUCCAUUGGAACCAAAUAAUGGGGUAGACAACAGGUCUAAAAGUAAAAACAACUUAAGUAAAAAAACUACAAAAAUGUCUAGUAAAGAAGUAGAUUUUAUUGAAAUGACUUUACCACAAAUUACUGAAACUAAUCAAGCAAUAAAUUUAAACUUAACCAAACAUAUUACAUUUAAUGUUGAUAAAAAAGGUAAAGUUAAUAUUGAAAAAAUUUCAAAAGAUGUUUCUAGUUCACCUGAAAAAGCAUCUGUUGGAACUUAUAUAAUACCAGAGGUUAAAUUUGACAAAAAAAUACAAACCACUUUAAUCAAAAAUAAGUCUCAGGAACAUGACAACUAUAGAAAAAAUCCAGUUAGUGUUAAUUUAAAUACACUAAAAAAAAGAAAUAGAAAGAAAAAAUUAAGAAAAGUUAAAAGUAAAUCCAGGCUUUCUAAGGAAAUAAAAGUUCUCAAUAAAUCAAUUGUUAAGGACAAAAGUGGGGAACAGAUUUCAGCUGCAGAAAGUUUUGAAUAUAUGCCAGGCCAUAUUUACAACCAAACUCAUAUCAACAAUAACAAGGAGGUCAGAAGAUCUAUCCCAAAAAAAGAUAAUAAAUCUAGUCUUGAAUCAAGUACUGGACACACUACAGACUCAAGUAAAGAUAAAAAUUCAUUUUCGAAGGAUUUGGAAAAAAGUAUUGAUCUAUUAAAAAUAACACUAAAGAGAGGUAAUGCAGAUGAUGAGAUAAAGAAAAAACUUAUCAAAGAAAUUGUACAACGACUUUUAAAAACAAGAUAUAAAGAUGAUGAUAGCUCAGACUUUCUUUCUGGUUUAAGUUUUGACAGUAAAAAGUUAGAUUUAGGCUGCACCAGUACAAGUAGCACCUCAGAUGGUAGAGAAUAUAAACCAAAGAAAUCAAUAUUACGUGUUGAAAAUUUUAAUUCUAAUUUACCAUCAACCUCUCAAAGUACACCUAAUUUACCAUCAAGUAUCAAAUGUGAGGUAGCCAAGAAACACGGUGCUCCUAAUACAGAUUCUGAUCAAUCUAAAGAAGCCAAAACGUCUUCAGAAGAACUAUACCAAAAAUACCUCAAAGCACUUAAAAGAGAACAAGCCUACAAGGAACAUUUAAAAAUUAAAGAAGCACUACUUAAACAAAAAAUAGUUGGCUCUGAUACAAAAAUUAACCAAGAUGUCAAAUCUUUGAAUAGGAUAAAAGAUUUAAUGAAAGACUUGGUUAGGAAUAACUAUGAUGAUGGUUCUGGUGAUGCAAGCAAAUUGGAAGGAGGCUCUCUUAAUAAUAUAAACUUCAAUCAGAGCAAUUCUAUAAGAAAACAAAAAAGCCAUUCAGUAUUCACUUUAUCCUCUGGGACAUCAAUUCAACAGAAAACAAAUACAAAAAAAGCAGAUAUAGGUACUAUAACUACUAGAAGUAGUAAGAAUGAAAACCAUUACUGUUGUUGCCCACUUCAUAUUCAUAAAGUUGGUGUAACAGAUAGUUCUGUACAGGUAAAUAUUCUAUCAAGCAAUGAAAUGCACACAGACUUUCAUCGUCACAAACAAAAAUGUGAUAAAUGUAGUGAUCAUAAUAAUAGUUUGGCAAACAUUGAAAACAAUACCAAAAGAAAUGAAAUAAAAUAUGUUUGUUUAUGUAAAGAGACUAAUUCACAAGGGGUACCUGAUAAUAUUCUAAUUUACAAAUGUUCCCGAUUGGAUAAUGAUCAGAAGACAGAAAAUAUCUUACAGCAAUCACCACAUGCUACUAAUACACAGUGUUCUCAUAAAGAAGUUUCUGGAAUGAAUCAAAAAGUGUUGGACACCUCAAAUGGAAGAGAACAAAAUUUGCCAAAACAAGGUUUAAAUAUUCAAGAAUGUUCAAGUUCAAAAUCGUCACAAACUAAUUUAGACUUAGACGUAAUAUUACGUCAAAAAUGUAGUGACAAAUGUGGAUCUUCCUCAUCAAGUGGUCAAGAUCCUCUGCAAAUAGAAACUAAUCCAAAAGGAAAAUUACCGAUAUUGAAACUUAAAAAAAUUCAUGAAGCAAUUAGAUGGACACAAACCGAUAUCAGUAUUAAUCCUAAAAUCUCAGAUCCAUCCUUCUCUGACAUUAAUAUCAUUGACAAAAAAGACUGUGUGAAGCUUGUUAGUGAACAAUAUAAAGAAGUUUCGCUGGAGAAUAUUAAGACAAGUUCUGAUGAAAUGACUGAUCUGGUCACUGAUAGUUCAUCAAAGGGGUUUAACAGAAACUCAACUAUAUUGAGUCCAGAUGAUAAAUAUAAGAAAGCUGAUAAACAAAUACAAUCAGAUAUUUAUAAAGGGGCCGUAAGUAAUAUUGGAAGUCAAUGUGAUUUACAGGAAAAACUUAAUUAUUCUAUUCCAAUAGAAGGUACUAACAUGACAUUGAAAGUAAGUUUGGGUGAUAGAGAAACGCCUGUUGGAAAUGCUCAAAGUAACCUUUAUAAACGACCCAUACUUAAAACAAAGGAGACUUUGACACAUAAACCUACAACUUCAGGGAAUUCAACUUGCCUAUUGCAAGAAUGUUCUGUGGGGGUACAAUCUACAGAAAAUAAUCGUUUAGAUGAAUAUUAUAAUCAGGCCGCUGCUUGUGCCUCUAAAGCUUGUAAAGAUGUUUUGAAAAGAAAAGAUAAAGAAUCAAAAUCUGAAAUAACCACACAAAUUCGUGUCCUAGAUAAAUAUCACACUUACCCAAAAGGGGAUAAACCCAAUCCAUUAAAACCUCUUCUACGUUCAAAUACUGAUACCAGUAGAAUAGAGAAGGCAUCCCAUGUUACAUUUGAUAAACUAAAAAUAAAUUUUGACAAUCCCAGAACAGAUAAUAUAAAUGAUUCAGAAAAAGUUACUCAAGAUAUUCAUUUUACAAGUUCCUCAGACAAAACAUCAGAAAACUGUAAAGAGUCUCAGAGUUCAAAAACCAUAUCUGAUAGUGAAUGCCAAACUAAGUCAAAGAGUUCCGGUACUAGUUGUGAAGCUGACGAAAUUAAUGAUCCUUUGAUUGAUUUAAUACAAAAUAUUACCAAGAGAUAUUCUAAAAAAGAAACUCAAAAAAAUAAAAGAAAAAAGUGUUUCAAAGAAAUAAUAACUGUUCUAAACUAUUUAUUAGACACUGAAGAAAGUUCCGACCAAAAAGUAUGUACUGAGAAUACUGAAACUAAUAACCAAAAAGAAUCUCAAAAGAAAGAAUUCACCGACAAGGCCGUGCAAUUAUCAAACUCUAAAAAGGACAUAGAACUACCUGAUCCUACUUCAUCUGACCUUCCUACAACUUCUUCUGAUUCAACAGCAUGUCAUGUAUUAAAUAAGAUAAAAAAAGAAUGUGAAAAAUAUCAUCAAAAGCGGUGCAAAUCAUACCAUAGGAAUGUUGAGGAAUCCAGUAGCACAUCUAUGAACUGCCAUCAUCGUCGAGACCACUGUUAUUGUAAAGGAUAUAAGUGCAAGCAAAAACAAUUUGAAAAAAACAAAAAAAAAUGUCUUGCAUAUAACCUGAUUGUGCAAUCGGAUAGUUUGGCCAGUGAAGAGACAAUUUGCGAAAAUAAUAACCGCCCUCUUCGGAAUAUAAUAGUAAAAGUGCCGAAGAAGAAAUACGAAAAAAUGCCACUAAAAGAAAUGUGUGCUAAGUUGGAAAGAGAAGUUCCGCAAUGCUCAAGAGUACAUAGAUCGAAAAGUCUUUCUAAUGAUAGUGAAGUUUCAAGUACAGAGGACAUGAUAAGGCAAUCCCAAGCAUUCUCAGUAAGAGAAUAUCUGGAGAGGAAUCGACCAGACUUUGUUGAGAAAUGCUCUCAACGCCAAAACUGCUUGAAGAUGAUCAACGAAACUAGCGGGUCAAAAGAUACGUCUCCUAGAAUGAAUAUGAUUAUUGUGCACACACCCAAAUGUAAUACAAACCCAUGUAUAAGAAAAUGUACCAUGUAUUGCAGAGGAGGAUCCACUAAUUGCAAUAAUUGUAUCAAUCAAUAUAAAAAUCAACAAUGGGUACAAAAUACUAUGUCUAAAUUUGAGCCAACGAACGGGCAGCCAAGCGUAAGUUGCUGUCAAUGCAGGUGGGCCAGCAACAAACACUGAGUGAGAUGUCUGAUGCAGGAUUAAAAGUUUUUGCGGCGCAACUUGGCAAACAGCUGCGAACUAAGAAACUCGCACCAAAAUUUAUAAGUGAACGAGAUAUGAAGAAACAUUCUGAGAAAAUUUACAAGACGCUGCCGGAAGUUGUAAAUAAAAAAGAACAAAUGAAAAAAGAAUGCGUCAAGAAAACUAAUUUGCUACUGGCAAGCAUU